AACGAACGCUGGCGGCAUGCCUAACACAUGCCAGUCGAACGAGACCUUCGGGUCUAGUGGCGCACGGGUGCGUAACGCGUGGGAACCUGCCCUUAGGUUCGGAAUAACUCCCCGAAAGGGGUGCUAAUACCGGAUAAUGUCUUCGGACCAAAGAUUUAUCGCCUUUGGAUGGGCCCGCGUUGGAUUAGCUAGUUGGUAGGGUAAAAGCCUACCAAGGCGACGAUCCAUAGCUGGUCUGAGAGGAUGAUCAGCCACACUGGGACUGAGACACGGCCCAGACUCCUACGGGAGGCAGCAGGGGGGAAUUUUGGACAGGGGGCGAAAGCCUGAUCCAGCAAUGCCGGGUGGGGGAUGAAGGCCUUGGGGUUGUAAAGCUCUUUUACCCGGGAUGAUAAGGACAGUACCGGGAGAAUAAGCCCCGGCUAACCCCGU
rnacentral:rRNA from 1 species